CUCUUCUCCUGGAUGGGGCAGGCACGUGAGGCUGAGGGGAGAAGAAGAAGCCUCCCAUCUUGCUCUUCUUUUUUGCCACCUGGCAACAAACUCUGGACACAGCCAGGUCAAUUUGCUCACUUACCGUGUCACCGAUUGGCACUGGGGCCAGACACCCUCAGAAAGGAUCCGGGAGCAGGGCCAGCACACCCAGCUCGGUGUGUUGUGCAUGGCUCAGCACAUUGCACACAGCAUUUCCUAUCACGCACAGCUCGGUGCAUUGCACACAGCCUGGCACGUUGUGCACAACCUGCUGCGUCGUGCACAGCCCUGCACGCCGUGCACACAGGCCAGGGCAUCACCUACAGCCCUGUGCACAACCCAGUACACUGCAUCCUGGACGUCUCACGUAGCCUGGUGCAUUGCAUGGAGAGGGAGGUGCUGGUCUCUGCUCCCUGGUUAUCAAUGAGAACAGCACAGAGCUGCACCAGGGGAGGCUCAGACUGGACUUUAGGCAAAAAAUUCUUUACUGUGAGGGUGGUCAGGCACUGGAACAGGCUUCCUAGCAAGGUGGUUGAUGCCCCAUGCCUGUCAGUGCUCAAGAUGUCCUGGUUUUGGCUAGGAUGGAGUUCAUUUUCCUCCCAGUGGCUGGCAUGGGUGCCGUGCUUUGGAUUUAGGAUGAGGAUAAUGUUGAUCGCACCCCGAUGUUCAGUUGUUGCAGAACAGUUCUUACACUGUGUCAGGGAUGUUCAGCUCCUCGCGCUGCCCUGCUGGCGGAGAGCCUGGGGAUGCCCAGGAGCCGGGAGGGGACAUGGCCAGGACAGGUGGCCCCAACUGGCCAAAGGGAUGUCCCAUACCAUGUGGCAUCAUGCUGACCAACAAAUAUGGGGGGGCUGUCCAGGGGCACUGCUGUUAAUUGGGGACUGCCUGGGCAUUGGCCAGCAAGCAGUGAGCAAUUGGGCUGUGCAUCGCUCUCUUUGUUUAUUGUUUGUGUUGUUACUGGUUUUUUUUUGGUUGGUUAGUUUUCUUUCUUUUUUUUUCUUUCCAGUUACACUGUCCUUAUCCCAAACCAUGAGUCAUUGCACUUUUCAGUUUUCU
rnacentral:lncRNA from 1 species